AAUGGCGCUAAUAAACUGCGUGUCGGCGAAAGCAUCGAAAGCAUCGUGCGAGGUACCGUGUGAUCUUCAUAACGGUGAUUGUCGUCGUACUCACCAUUGUAUCGGUUGUUACACCGCGAGUAUCGUGAGAGUUCGUUCGACCGAAUUCGUCGCAAGAGCGACGGCGUCAGUGAUCCGUCGGCAGUCGGUCGAUCGCAUUUUUCGAUCCGCCGGUGUUUAUUUUUUGGUCUCUAAUUCGUAUGUUUAUCAGCGUACGUGAGAAGUCGCGGACGUGAUAGUCGCUCGGAGACGUGCGUUUGUUGUGUGUCAGCAACGGUUGCGGUCACCGGACCAAGGAUUAGAUCGCUCGCGCCGCGGCGAGGUAAAGGUGUCGCAUGAAGGUAUCCGCGCGUACCUAUCGUUCGAGAGUCGUCGUCCGUCGGCUAACGUCAUUGCUAUUGGAUGCCGAGUGACGCAGAGAUCGCAGCUCGUUUGUCGUUUCGCGUUAAUUUCCCGUUGUCGCGACGUAAUAAAUUGCGCAUCGCGCACAUCGGAAGCGUCUGGCAAGUGUAAGUCGCCGCGCGAUCUUUAUAUCGAAGUGAUUAGCGCCGUAUGUACCGGCACCUCGUUAGAUCGCGAAUUUCGUUCGAAGCUCGUCGUGCGAACGACGUCGUCAGUGGUCCAGCGCCGUCGGUCGAUCGCAUUUUUCAAUCCGCGGCUGUUUGUUUUCGGUCUGGAUUCGUAUGUUUAUCAGCGAACGUGAGAACGCGGACAUAGUAAUCGUCCGGAGCAACGCGUGUUGCGUGCGAGCAACGGCCGCGACUGCCCGGUCGACAGGUUAUGAUGCGUCGCGCGGCGCGGCGUAAAUGUGAUCGCGCGGACAUACUCCUGCGCUCGAGAUUCGUCGUCUACCGCGGAGUGCCGUCCAGGAUGUCGCGCGAUUAUCGAGGUGAUUAUUGCUAACAAUAAGCAGUAGUGUUUUCGUGAGUGCGAGUGCCAUAAAAAAGCGGGAACAAGAGAGGAGGAGGAGGAGGACCUGGGGGGCACCAGGCAACAGCGGAGCAACCACGAGGUCGAGAGAGACGUUGAAAACUCCGCUGCUGCGCAUCGUGUGCCGAGUUCUACACAGGGAAAGUAGCAGAAGCAUCUCAACGAAUCUCGAAGAAUACAAAUUAAGGUGAGUCUGAUAUUAAUUAUUAAAUGUCCAAAUGUAGAAGAGUACGAGUGCGCAAAGAUCACUGUAAAACAUCUCGAGUGAAGCGAUUUCAAAUUAUUUCAUCCUGCCUUCGUAUAUCGUGUCUCGCGAGAAUUCCUUGUUUGCAACAGCUGUGCAUUUCGGUCCCGCGAUGAAGGAACGGCAACCGUGCGACGGAUUAUCUUUUUCGGGCCGCAGGAAGAUCGACGAGACCAAGAAGUUUCGACUCGAGGUUCCUCGCAGAGGAGGGGACCGGCGCGGCGCGGCGCGGCGCGGCGUUCUUCGUGGCUGGAAAUAAUAACACUCGCGCGGGGAUCGUA